rnacentral:rRNA from 1 species
UACGUAGGGUGCAAGCGUUAAUCGGAAUUACUGGGCGUAAAGCGUGCGCAGGCGGCUUUGCAAGACAGAUGUGAAAUCCCUGGGCUCAACCUGGGAACUGCAUUUGUGACUGCAUGGCUGGAGUGCGGCAGAGGGGGAUGGAAUUCCGCGUGUAGCAGUGAAAUGCGUAGAUAUCGAGAGGAACACCAGUGGCGAAGGCGAGUCCCUGGACACUUCCUGACACUGAGGCACGAAAGCUAGGGGAGCAAACAGG